CUUUCCUACAGCCCGUGAAUGCAGCCUCCCACUGCCGCCCAGGCUGGCCUUGCUGCGUGCCGGCAUCCCAGUGCCACGGCGACCCACAGACACACAGGUAACCCACUGGCAUGGCUCCCAUGGCACACGAGGUGGGAACUGCUUUUCUUCAUGUGCUGCAUCAGUGUACAAAGCGAAGGCUCAAUGUUAAUCCCCCUGGGGAGCUGCCAUAGGAGCUUCCUGCUGGGACUGUGGCACUGCAAUUAGAAACAGGUAAUUAGUGAGGGAGCACAGUGGCUCUGCUCUGGCACCCUGGGAGCACAUGUUCCCUUGGGAAGUGAGCAGAGCCGAGCCUGAGCGUAAGUUGUGGUUUGGGUGGAGGCGGGAGCUGGAGGACUGGCUGUGGACACUGCUGUUCCCGUUCCUGGCCCAAGCAGAGCACGGGUUAGUGAUCAGGGCAGGAGUCUGAGGAGAUGCCGUGCAGCACUGCGGGAGAGGGAGGGCCCUGUGUGUGCUGUGUCCUGCUGCCACUGUCCUUUCCCUCCUCUUGGAGAGGCUCCAUUGUGCUCCUGCCCGAUAAGUACCCAUGGAUGGAGCAGCAGCAGCAGCGAGGUGCCACAGCAGUGCCUCGCAGUGCCGCAGCUCUCCUCAGAAAGAGGGAACCAUCCAAUGGCAGGGACAGCCACCACUCCAUGAAUAGCAAACCGAGUGACCUAAUUCAGCUCUCUGGGCGGCCCUCAGCUGCUCCAUGGCGGCCGUGCUGGAGCUGACUCAUCACUUCCAGCCUGGCAGAGAUUGGAGCUUUCAGGCCCUAAGGAUUUUGCUCCUUCGUUAUUAAUUUUAAAUUGAUUAAAAUGAAUUUUUAAAAUACCAGGAGACACUUGCUUAAAGAAAUAGUUAUUAAAAAAAAGAAGGAAAUAGUUGGUCUGUGGGAGUUAACUCUGUGCUUAACAACCUCUGGCUCCUGCAGCUGUAAACACACAUUGCAGCUUGGAGGAAUCUUAGGUCAGCUGUUCUGUCACGGCAGAUUAGCGAGGACAGGAUUAAUCGGUCUUUAUUGUAAAAAAGUGAGAAUUAUGAACAUCCCUGCUUAUACCCAGCACUGGUGUCCUCAUCCAGGGCAGGGUGGUAUUACAGGCUUCUGCUCUCAGCUGCACAACUUUGUCCAGAAGUUGAGAUCUCCCAGAGAAGUGCAUCCCUGCAGGAGCAUCCUGUUCUUUCCAGCAUUGCUCAGUGCCUGACAAAGCUCCUCAUAUGGUCCUGAGCCCCCCUGGGGUGGCCUGUGGGCUGUCUGUACUAGAACGGGCUGUCAGUCCCCUGCUUGGCUUCCCACAGAGGUUGCCAUAGCCAGGGUGGGCAGGACAGAUGGAUGGAGGAUCUUUUCUCUCACUGUCAGAGGGCAGUUCCAGACGAGCUUCUCCCCUGGGCCGUUCUCACCUGCUGUGCCUGCCCCAGCUCUGCCAGGGGGAACUCCCUUGCACUGUGGGGCAGGAGGAUUUUUGUCCUGAGUGAUUUGCAGUGUAACUGCACAACUCAGGCUUAUGCAGAUAGGUGAGGCUUUUCCCUUCUGCCUCCCCUCUUUCCCACUAGUGAGAGGUGGAUGCAGCCCAGCAGCCAGCCAGCAGCCCAGGAGGGCCCAUGGACCCACCUAAGCCAGUGGCACUAAGAACCCUUCUGUGCUGUGGUGGGCUACAGAGAUGUAGGAACCCCCUUCCUGCAGGCUCCAGAAGCAAGGUCAGAGCUCUCUCCUCAUGGAUAUUUCUCCCUGAGAGUUCAUCCUGGGGCUAACCCCCCUCAGCAUCCCACCUGCUGCUCUGGAGGGGGACGGGGCUGCACCUGCUGGCAGCUGUGCAGGGUCUGGCCCCGGCUCAUUCGCAGGGAUGGUGCUCCCUUACAGUGAACAUCAGGGCUAGCAGCAUAAACAGUAGAUUAAUUGAUAAAGCUUUUUGUCCUGUAAACAUACACCAACAAAUAAAAAUUAAGAAAAAAAAAAAAGGCAGGUGGAAAACUCUGUGGUACUUCAGAGAAGACAGAGCAGGAAGCCAAGAGGAGUGAAGGAGCAGAAUAUAGAAUAUGGAAUUCACCUGGAGGUAACGAAGCAGCAGAAGUUGUCAGCCCCUUUUAUGUCUGUCUAAAAAAAAGAGGCCUUUUAUUUCAGUGAAACCAAAGAAUGAAAAUUCAAAAGCAAAACAAAGCAGAAAACUUCUGCAAAAACAAUUUGACACUUGCUAUUGACUGGAGGAAUGGAGCAGCAGUUUAACAAGUUGCACAAAAGCACCUUUCAUCUGCUUUAAAAAUCUCUCUAAAAGAUACAGUUAUAUCACUGGUAUGCUGUUCAUCUGUCUCUUCUCCUCUCUAGAUCUCAAAAGCUGAACUGCUCCAACUUCACAUGCCGAAGUAGAACCUACUUCUUCUGCCUCAGCCUUGCACUCAGCAUCCAGCCUUGCCCAUGGUGCAGCACGGCAGAUAUUGCUGUGGGAGAGCCUGGCUGGGGAGACAGAGUUCCUUCCUGCUCACCUCCUUCAGCAUCAAGCUGUGUCAGCUGGGAUGACUGGAGAAGUCCAUCUCUGUCCCCAUCCUCUGAGACCAGGAAAUUGAACGUAAGGAAAUCUCAUGAGGAACAACACUCAUGUGCAGGUACCAAGUUCCUGCUGCACCUGAAUUCAAUUGAUGCAAAGAAGCUGAAUUUAAAAUAUGCUACAGAACAAAGCAAGGCCAGCUGGAGGAUUUCCUGCAGGAGAAAGGAAAAGCCUGGGGAGGCAGUGGGCUGGAAUGCUGAGCUGUGACACAUUCCUGCUGGCUGAUUAUGAACCUUUCUGCAGCAAGAUUUGAAACAGCAAGAUUCCAGUUUAAAUCAAAGUCCCUAGGAUUCACUUGUGAUUUCCAGUAAGGCUUCUUUAAGUGUGACUCUGCUGUGCCCAAGGAAAGCACACCACAGGCUGGAGUGAGCCAGGAAGUCUCGUCCCCAAGUGGCUUUAUGCUCUUCAAAGAUACCUGAAGGAGCAGAGAAGCUGGCAACCUGCACUGCAAUUUCAGGGGGUCAGCAAACCUGUGAGACAGAUGCACUCACCUUUGUGACUGACAAUGCUCUCCAGCCCUCAGAGGCUGCUUUGCCAGCCCUGGGAGUGUGGCUGUGGUGUGAGGUCUGCUGUUUUCUGGUUGGAGUGCUUUUUAUAGCCUGUAUUAUAAGGAAACCCACACUUGGGGAAAGGAAGAAGGAAUUAAAUGGAAAACAAACCACAGGCCUGGCCAUUAAUCCUUCUGGGGAAAGCAUGGUCAGGGCUGCACUCUUCAGCAUCCAGACCCACUGUGGGAUACACCAGUCUGAGCUGGGUCUCUGGUCAGCCAUUGUUCUGGGGGGUCUGCUGCUGUUCUCCCACUGGAACCUGUUCCUUUGUGCUCUUUCCAUGAGGAGCAGCCAAAAUCAUGAGUUAAACGUUGCUGAUAUUAAAAAGGACUCCUGGCAUCUGCCCUGAAUGGAGAAAUCAUCAUGUCAUUCAUUAAGGAUAUCCAUGCUUGUACAGGGAACACAUGUGUGCCAGAUGGUGCCAGUUCAGGAUUCCCAGAGGGAGCAGGAGAGGUCCAUCCCUGCUGAAUGCCAGAGCCACCCCAAUCCCAGGGUCCCCCAAGGGUCCUCCCUCAUCUCCCUGCAGCCUGGCAGAGAUGCCCCUGGACCUCUCCCAGCUGAGGCCGCAUUGUGACCCCAAACUGCCAAGGAAAGUACAAAAUUGGUGUAUCCUGGGGGAGGGAGGGAGGGACGGGGGCUGAGAUCUGGUGUCUCGAGACCAUGGUUUUUAGACAGUGCUGAUCCAGAGUGUCUUAUUCCCAGCAUUUUUCAAAUUGUGUUAUUUCCUACAGUUUGCAACUACACACAGUUGUCAGAGGUUAUGACACGUAGCUGACUUUAAAGGACACUGUAACAAAUGCUGUGCACAUGUUCUAUAAAUGUUGUUAUACCCUGUAUUUUAUAGCUUUAGACUGCAAUAAAUGAGGACAAACUA